AACUUGUAGCAACGGAUCACUUGGCUCUCGCAGCGAUGAAGAACGCAACGAAAUGCGAUAAGUAAUGUGAAUUGCAGAAUUCAGUGAAUCAUCGAAUCUUUGAACGCACCUUGCGCUCCUUGGUAUUCCGAGGAGCAUGCCUGUUUGAGUGUCAUGAAUUUCUCAACCUGUCUAGCUUUUAUAAAGAUAGGCAGGCUUGGAUUUGGAGGUUGCUGGCUUCUCAGAAACCGGCUCUUCUUAAAUAUAUUAGCAGAACCAUUGCUGAUUAUUCUUGGUAUGAUAACUAUCUAUACCACGGAGAAUUGGUUUCCUUCAUUGGACGGUUUCGCUUCUAACAGUCUUUUCAGACAAUUCUUGACAAUUUUGACCUCAAAUCAGGUAGGACUACCCGCUGAACUUAAGCAUAUCAAUAAGCGGAGGCU
rnacentral:misc_RNA from 1 species